CAGCACGCAGGAGCUCACAGGGGUCUGGAAGGACCUACUGCUGGGCGCACGAGCAGAACCAUGUGAUACGUUUGGUGUUCCAGGCGACGCACAGGCAAAGCCC